CCCCCCUCCGCCCCCGCUCCCCUCCGCCCCCCUAGCCCGCGGAGCACGCUGGGAUUUGGCGCCCCCCUCCUCUGUUCAGCCUAUAUAAGGCUCCCAGUCGGCGCUCCUGGUACACGCGCUUCAACUUCGGUUGGUGUGUGUCGAAGAAACCUGACUGCGACCUGGGGAGAACAGCGAAGAGGGUCCACCAAGCCUCGAGAAAGGUCCGCUGAGCGGGCUCGCGUCUGGAGCCACUCCGGGCUGCAGAGCACCCAGCGGAACCCACGCCUGGCGCAGGUGUGGGACCCCGUCCUCCUGUCUUCGCAGAGGAGUCCUCGCGUGUUUGCAGGUACCUCUUGGGCUCCUGAAUUGAUCUGCCUGUCAUCCACCACAGACGUCGAACGUCAGCUACAGUUCCAAGGUUGGCAACAGAGAACACUCUGCUGGAAAGACCUAAGCAGAAAUGAAGGACCACCUGCCGAGACUAAGAGCUGGGUGGGAACCACACUGCAUUUUCAUCGAAAGAGUGAACAUCUAGUGGGACUGAAAGUUCUUUGUUGUUUCAGAUUGUAGAAUGUGAUUGAUGGAAUUGGUCUGUGGAAAUUGCAUUGUUUUUAUUUCUUUAUGUAAUCUGUUUAAGUAAUAGGGGGUAUAUAUAAUCGUAAGUAUUUUAGGGUGGGAGGGACUAUUAAGUAAUUAAGUGGGUGGGGUUAGUUUAAAAGCAUGAUAUGUAUUAGAUAACUCUAUAAGUGGACAUGUGUACUUACUUGUGAUCCUUUACCCUAUGAUUGCUACCCUUAAAGAUUUCAAAUAAACUCAGAGGGAACUGCAGGGAGAUCAGACUAUUUAGGGCAAAUUGGACAUGAAUAAAACUCUAGUGGGAAAAAGUUCAAAGGUGAUUAAAUAAAUAAUUUAACUUUGCCCUGGGUAUUAAGCCCAGGGCUCCAGAUUGUGAGCAGAGCCUUUGGAGAGUUACAGGAUGAGGAGAUAGAUGCUCUUUGACUUGCUGGAAUGAAAUUGAUAAUGAAGGAUGGUAAAUAUUCAUGGAAGUUACAGAAAAGUGAUGAAGAAGAACCCUGUCAGUGGUCCUCCUACCUCUCCCUGCCUUUUCUCCCUACCCCUACCACCUCCCUACCCAUUUUAUUGCUGUAUUUCUCUCUAUUUACUAAUAUUGUAUUGAUGUCAUAAUAAAAAUUCAAUUAAUAAAGAUUUAGUGGUUAAGUGCAAACUGUGUCCUUAUCAUUUCAGCGUCCUCCACCAACAUCAAAGGAACAGGGUGGGGGGAGGAAGGU
rnacentral:lncRNA from 1 species